UGGUUGGUGGUGUAGUGGUAACAUAUGUCGCCGCUAUUCGUAGCUGCUCCGGCAAGUCUCAGGUUCAAAUCCUGGCCAAUCUG